UUUUUUUUUUAUGUGGAGUACAUUACAUUUAUAAUUCUACCACAAAGGGGCACUAGCCAUAAGGCAAAUACAAAUACAGAAAUACACACACCAACAACAUAUACAACAAACUCACGAUGAGUUGUCGCAACUUAUUCCGACUCUGAAAGAGUUAAAUUGCAAAAAAAACUUAAAACAAGGCCCUACAACAUCCAUAAUGUGAAGUUACACUUAAUACACAGACUUAGUGUCUCCAACAUAAUCGGCCAAAAUAUUAUAAUUUCUUUUGCGCUUCUUAAGGAAGUUCUUGAACCAAUACGUCGAAAGUUUUGGGUGCCUUUUCCGUCCAUUGUCAUAAUCCACAUAGUUGAUACCAAAUCGAACUGUAUACCCUUCGCUCCAUUCAAAGUUGUCUAAAAUUGACCAUGCAAAGUAUCCUUUCACAUUACUUCCCUUCCUGCACCCCAAAAAAAAUUAAGGAAAACUAAUGAAAAUGGUUUGAAAACUUUGAGUUUUAAUAAUAAGGACAAAAUAAAGGGUAAAGUGAAUAGUACCAGAAUUGAUUUUUUAGUGUAAAAAUGUGGUUUUUGUUAAAAUGAAUAGUACCGAAAGCUUUUCGUUAAAGUUCCCAAAAAAUUAAUGAUUUGGCAUCAAUGUGAUUACUAAAUAACCAAAAAGCAAUAUAGUUUUAAUUACUUUGUCAACAACACUUACUUGAUUGCUGCUUGAAGGUAACAGAGAUGGUGAUUGUAGUAGUCAGUUCUAUUGGUGUCAUGAAGAGCAUCCUCUAGUGAUAAGGUUGAAUUAUUGACCUCGUCAAUGCCUGCAAUAAAAUUCAUUACAAUACAUAUUUAGUAUUCUCUUUUAUCUAAAAAAGAGAGAUGAUUGGUUUUAUAUUUAGAUUUGGCAGCACUUAACUGUAUUUUACAUCAAUUUAUACAUAUAUAAAAAAUGAUAAGUGAAAUAAUUAAGUUAGGUGUAAAAGUGUUAAUUACCAUUCUCAGUAAUGUAAAUGAUUGGAUCACCAUACUUAUUCUUCGUGUAGAGUACAAAAUCAUGAAUUCCUUUUGGAUAAACAUAUAACCAGUUUGAAGCAGCCUGUAAUACCAUAUUUGAGAUUUAUAAAAGUUGUAUAAAUUAAUCCUCCAAAUAUGAAUAACUUGACCUAAAAUUUGAUGUGUACCUGAGGACCAAUAGGAACGCCAUCAAGUUCAGCUGCCACAACAUAUAUAUGAAUGUGAUCAAUAGUAGAAUCUAAUAAUACUGACGUAUGAUUAAUUAGCCGAUAAAAUUUUUGAAUUUGUACUCACUUAGUAAAGUAACAUGUGGAUCAUAUAAGUAACUUGCAGGUUCAGAAUAAUUCUUAGGUACAUCAGCUGCAUAUCUAGCAGAAUAAUAGUUCAGUCCAAUAAAGUCAAAAGACCCAAUUAACAUCUUUGAUUCUUCAUCUGUGAAUUUGGGUAAUCGUUCUCUAACGAGGCCUUGCAUGCUGUAUGGGUAGUCACCUCUUGUAAUUGGAUCCAUAAACCUAUAAAAAUGUGAAACUUCCAAACAUGAACUUAUAGUAUGCAUACUAUACCAGUCACGGCUGGCUAGCUAGCUAAUCAACAUUAUAAGUCAUAAAUAGGGCGAUCUCAAACCAACAAAACUCCUUGUUUUGCAAGGAUCGGGAGGGGUGAGGAACGUUUAUCGUACGCAACCUUACCCUUAAUUUGCAAAUAGACUAUUUCCACAACUCAAACCUGUAACCUUUCGGUCACAAAUGAGCGACAUUUCUGUUGCACCAAGGUUUACCCUAUUUACGAGUCAUAAAUAAAUAAAAAGAAAUAGUAAUGCUAUUCAUACCAUGUUUUUAUACCACAUUUUUAUACUACCUUAAGUGGUAUAUGAUACGGACAAUAUCGUGCUACGGCAGUGGAGCGGGCCCGGGAUGUGAUGGACCCCGGGUCGGGAAAAUAAAAAAAAAGAAAAGAAAAGAAAAAAAGAAAAAAAGAAGGAAAAAAAGAAAAAAAAAAGAAGAAAAAAAACCACAUCAUUUGAAAAAUUUGCAAAACCCAAGGAAAUGAAGGAGAAAGACUUCUCGUAUACCACAAUCAUCGUUUGAUUAAUUAGUUUUUCUUAAUUAUUAGUUUAUUAAAUAAUGAACUAAAUUUAAAAAUCUGAUUAAUUCAAAUGAUGUGGUUGUCCACAUCAAAUACCACCUAAGGUGGUAUGAAAAUAUGGUACAAAAACAUGGUAUGAAUAACAUUACUAAAAAAGAAAUCAAUUGCACUUGCCAUCCGAACAUAAAAUCCAAAGCUCGAUAUGAAGCAUCCAUAUCUUCCUUUGCUUCUGAAGCAGGCUCAAACCAGUGCGACACUAGUGUUAUUCCUAUCACCCCAUUCUGAUAUGCCUACAAAGAAAAUUCAGAAAAUUAUUUGAUUUAGUGCCCUACAAAGUCCAAACUUUGUUUACCUCGCUAUACAAAAUGUUUCCUAGCACACCAAUAUUCAGACAAAAACAGGAACUAGCUAGCUAGUUAAUUAAUUGUACCUGAAAAUUUUCUUUGUACACUUUUACAGCAGCUGCAUGAGCAAGAAGUUGGUGGUGUGUGACUAAAUAGGGUUCGAUAGCUGAAUCUCCACCGAGGCAGGUUGGGUCUUGCCAAGCAGAGCAUCGUCCGGGUGCGUGGAUCCCAAUUGUAUAAGCAUGGUUGCUAAAGGUAUAUGGCUCAUUCAACGUGAUCCAGUGCUUCACUCGGUCACCAAAAAGUGAAAAACAAAGUUCUGCGUAGUCUUUAAAGUCAUCGCUGUGUGUACAUUUCAAACGCUUUUGUUAGAUAUAUAUAGAACGUACGUUUUAGUUAAACAAAUGAUCAAUAUUAUACAUAAGAUAAACUUUGUUGACUUACGCAAUACGAGGGCUUAAGAAACCACCAUAUGCAUCUUCUAAAGCUUGAGGAACAUCCCAGUGAAAGAGUGUCACAAAUGGUUGUAGGCCUAUAUAUAACAUUACCAGUAGAAAGAAGAUUAAAAGUUCGAUUCAGUUAAACUGUAAUUAUAUAUUAUGUAAUGGGCGGAUAUAUGAGAUUAGGUAGCUUUAUCACCAUGGAGAAGGAGUUCAUUGAUGAGAUUGUCGUAAUAUUCAAUUCCUUUCCUGUUAACACCCCCACUUAGCGUUCCAUCUAGUAAAUAGAACAAGAUAAUCAAAUUAGUUAAUGCCUAAUUAAUUCAGGUUAGUCCAUGAAGUAAUUGGUCCCAAAUCAAAUAUAUGAACGCUGAUGAUCAACAUUACUUGGUAACAAUCUGGACCACGAGAUAGAGAACCUAUAAGCAUCGAACUUCAUAUCCUUCAUAAUUGCUACAUCUUUCUGUAAUGACAAGAAAGAAAUACAUAAUACAAGAAAGAAGCUAAAUAUUAAUUGACCAUCUCAUGUUCAAUGUGCCCUUCAACUUCAAAGUAUGAAAGGUUUGGAGAAUUAAUAAUAUUAUUCCUUGAUAGAUAACCUUAUAGAGGUGGUAUUGAUCAAUGGCGACAUCUCCAUUGCUGCGAUCAGUGAUUUUUUCUGUAAAUAACCAUAGAAGUUUUUUUUAUUAUUUAAAGCAUAAAGAUGGUAGAAAUCAUACAGUACGAACUAUUAUGUCCAUACAUGUAUAGUCCAUAUCUUAACAUAUGCAUAUAUACUACAUGCCCAAUGGUAGUUGAUGAUGGUAUGCAGAAGACUAUACCUGGAUGGUUGUGGGUGAAGGUGUCCCAUAUGCUUGGUCCUCUACCAUCUUCGUUCCAUGCACCUUCUACCUGAAAUGUGCAUACAUACAUUUAAACUGAAGAUGUCAAUAUUCAUGCUUGAUUAUAUAUAUGCUAGUUUUCUGACAUUGAAAUAAAAUUAAACCUAAGUGAUUAUAUGAAGGGAAAUUAAAUGGCUAAGCUCUAGUAAAGACUGACCUGGUAAGAUGCUGAAGCUGCGCCAAAGACGAACCCUGGUUUAAGAGCAUCAAAUUUUCCCCUGUCAAGAGAGUUACAGACAAUGGGCCGAUAUGGCUUAGCAGCUUUGGUGUUUGUCAAUGCAAAGCCAGUGAGUAGCAACACAAACAAGAGCAAAGAUCCUAACUCAUGCAUCGCCAUAGUUAACUGGAGGGGGUUUGGUGAUCGAGAUAGCUAGGUUGGUUCUUCCCUGCAUAUUGCAUGGGGUUUAUAUAGAGGGGCUACGUACUACGUCUACAUAUGAAAAUAAUUGAUAAGCAUUUACUUACUAAAAUUUGAUAAACUCGGGCAGGCUUUAAAAAAGUGUGGACCACUUUAAAAGACCAAAGCAAAUACUUUUUGUAACAAUAAUAGUGUUGGGAUAAUACACUUAUACAUACAUACAUUAUAUAUAUAUAUAUAUAUAUAACUUGAAAUUUUGGUGGAUUGAUAUGCAAUAUAUACCAAGGAAUGGAUUUAAUUCUUCUAAACUAAAGUAGAUAGAAAUAUUCAAAAAAGGAAAAAAAUUAGAAGAAAAAUUAAAAAGUGGAGAAACGCACCUCAAGAUAAUAUUCGAUAUCAGACUUUUUUCCUUUAUACUGUUAAUCCAAUUGGGACCGUACUCCAAUAGCAAGCGGUGGCGAAGCAUGCAUGCAUGCAUGCAAAGGACCAGAAAUGUUCAAGUGUUGAUAAAGCCCUUCAACAAUACAAUAGAUUUUUCAAUGUGAUCGGUACACAAGGUGGAACAUUACGUAUCACUGUAAAAAUUAUAUGAUAUGUAUGUUAAAAAGUUAAUAACUUAAAAAAUGAAAUUUUCCACCACUUUUAUUAUAACACGUGAUGUACCACUUGUGUUCCCGUUAUAAUUAAGAAUUUCUCCAACAAUAUUCUGGAACGUAGCCAUCGAUCAUUCUCUUCGUGCCAAAUGUUUGCUAGAAUAUGUUAACACACUCAACACCCAGUUACCUUAACUCGCAAAGAACUAUAUAUGCCCAUGAUGAAUGCUUCCUUAAUCAAAUCACCCCACGAAUAAUUAAUAGUUUUAACCUUUCAUAUCAGUUUAGAAGUUUUAGAAUUGAUUGACAAAAAAAAAAGGUUUUAGAAUUGAAUUACCAGUAAUAUUUCUAAAUCUUAAACUGCAACUUGAAUAUUGAUUUUUUCCCAUUUCAAUUGAAUGCUUCGAUCCGUCAAAUGUGGCUUGGCUUUCUGUUCUUUAUAUUCCAAACUUAGGUCUGUAUAUGUUUUUUUUUUUUUUAUAAUCUUUAUCGUGUAAUAACUUAUGUGUUGUGAUUGGAAGUAAUUUUUUGUUGAUUGUUUUAGUAUUUUAUUCAUACCGUUUAUUUAGGAGAAGGAUUUGCAGAAAUCGGCAGUGUCUCAAAGCAAUCAUGCAAUUACAUGUAUAAAGUUAAAACGUGGCUUGCUGGGUUGAUUAGAAUACGUCAAUUUCAUUGUGAAGAUCUUUGCUGGUAACCACCAUAUGUUGACGUGUUAUUGUAGUAAAAACUGGAGUGCUUGAUUUACUCUGGAACGGAUCGACGGAGUGAGUAAGCAGAUUCACUAUUCCCGAGAGGUAGAAAAAAUGGUCUCACGGCCACUACUAGCAUAGCAUGUAAGUUGAAAAUCAUAGUACGCGUAACAAACUAUGAAUCUAUGAAUAUUAUUUAAUUAACUCAAAAUUAAAGAAAAGAUUGCUGAAAUAGCUACAAACUAAGGAAUAUAUUUGGUUGACUCACUUCUGAUAGAGUUACAAAAUCUGUUUAUAAUAAUUGAAACCCUAUAAAACCUAAUACUUGAAGUAUCUAAACUACCCAAUGAAUGAAAUAAAUAAAAAAUACUAAUAUUUUUCAACACCCCACAUCAAACUCAUGAUGCUAAUUAAACGAUAUGAGUUUGCCAACAAACAGAUGCGAAUGUAAACUCUGUUUGGCGAACAAUGAGGCCUGCAUAUUAUGUUUGGUGCUCUUCAACAAAUAGAUUUUGUAAGGGGGACAUACUUUGCAGCAUAUUGCCCAAAUAGGAGUAUAGAAAUAAAAACAUAUGAAUGCUCCCCCGUACUUAAUGAACGAGAUUCUUAUAUCACAAAUACAACAGCGAACAAACAUAAAAUCAUUUUGUCACCACGUGUGUGUAUAUAUAUAUAUAAUCUAGGGAGCUUUAAUAAAAAGGGCUUGGAUCAACAAAUAUUUAACCAAAAACCAUCCAAAAAUAUUAUUUAACCAAAAGGACUCAAAGUUUAAUAAAAAACCUUCUUCUCACCCUUCUCUGGCUUAAGCGGUGCAAGCUCCGCGCAGCACUUGGGUUUUUUCAACUUCUCCAACAAUGGCAACCCCUACAACAACAUCUUCGAUGUCGACUUUGAUGUCUUCGAAAACCAAGGGUUCCAGGAUCCUGAUGACAACCAUGUUGGUUUGGACAUCAUUCCCUUACCUCUAAUGCUUCGAGCACCGCAGGGUUUGUUUGUUGACUUUUUUUCUGACGGUUUUGUUGAUGGGUUUGACGGUGUAGGAGUCGAUCGUUCGCCUCAGAGCUUUGGGUUUGGCCAUGGCGGAGAUUCUAGAGGCUCAUCGCCCAAACCAGACACGCAGAAUUUGGAAUUUGGAAUUGGAAGAAGAAAUGUAGGAUACUUCGUUGAGGGGUUGGAUUGUAGAAUCCUAGGAUGGACGCAUCUACAGAGGACAAUAGCUCCUUUAUUAUAGAGGACUUUUUCUUCUAUAUAUUGACUGGGGUUUGUUCGUUGAUUUUUUUAGCAUGAAAUUGUUUCGACUCCUGAAACUGUGAGGUUGGACUUGAAAUUUCUAUUGUCUUGGUUUCCCACUUGGUGCAGUUUGUUGAGUCACUCAUCCCUUAACAUUGUUGAACUAGGCAAAAAAAAGAACCAAAACAUAAAACUGUUUUUAGAGAACCCAAAACAUAAAACUGUUUCUGGAAAAAAAAUCAGAUACAGUGUUUGUUUUGUCUGUGCACAAACAAAUAUUGUAUCUGGAAAGAAAAGAACCAAAAUCCAGAAACAGUGACUUAAAUUUCAGAAACAGUGACUUAAAUUCCAAAAACAGUCUAUGUUUUAACCUUUGACUGUUUAUUUUCUUUCAUGCAUCAGUUGAUUAUAUUUAAGAAACAAGAUGCUUAAUUUGCUUUGAAUCCAAAAACAGUGAAUUUCACUAUUUCUUUUGUAGCUUACAUUUAAGAAACAAUGUGUCUAUUUCAUUUGGAUCCAGAAACAGUGAUUUAGAUUCCAAAAACAGUAACUUAGGUUCCAAAAACAGUGACUUAGAUUUCAGAAACAGUAACUUAGGUUCCAGAAACAAUGACUUAGAUUCCAGAAACAAUGUUACUUAAAAUCCAGAGACAAUUUAUUUUUACAAUCUAGAAACAGUGACCCGUCGUUAUUAUUGAAUAGCAUGCAGAUCUCAAAUUUAUUUUCUAGAGAAACAAACGAUAAACUCCACUAAUGAAGAAAAAAUGAAAAACAGUACCUCGAAUACACUAUGAAUAAUAACGACGAUCACAUUUCAACGAAAUAAUACAAAAUAUAAAUUAAAUAGCAUGAGGAUCUAUAUUUUUGUUUCAAAAAAUAAAAAAGAAGGUCUGCAAAACAACGAUGAACUCCAUUAACAACGAAAAUCUGGAACUCAACCUAAAAAAGUUAAGGGUAAAAUGGACAAAUCAUAAUUUAUUAUAGUUGUGCCAUUUUUAGUUAGACUACAUUAAUAUGAGAAUUGUACUAAUCAUUAAACAAAACUUAUAACAUGAUUUUUUAUUAAAACUAAAACUUUUCAAGCCUUUUUUAUAAGUUUUCCUUAAAAUGUAACAACUAUCAUUAGAGUGGUCACCAAUUCAAGCACUUGAACGGUUGUUGUGAUGGACAAUAACAACAUACUCUAUAUACAGGCCCAACAACAUCAACCCUUAUCAUGUCACCCUUAUCGGCCCCAAUAACAACAAAUACUUUUUCUCAACAAAACCUUUUCUUAUCCCUUUUCUGUUUUUUCUUUUGUGCGAACGUAUGGAGUGGACUCAAUGCAGAUAAUGUUGAAAUACAGUAGUGGGUACAAAUGAGGUGUGGCAACAUGCCUGGUGGGUGUGACAACGCAACAACGAAUUCAUGGAUUCAUAAGGUCACGAUGUUGGUGGUCAGAUCGCGAUACAUGUGUGGGUUUGGUCAGUAACAAUGACUAAAGUGGUUUGAUGCGAUUUCGUUAUGUGGUAUAUCAACAAGCGGUAAUGGUAACGUUCGGAAUGGAUUUGUAUCAACGGUCAGUGGGUUCUAGGCCGCGUGACAUAGUUGGUGACAGAUCUAGUACGAGUGCGGGUCAACAUUGCAACAACAUCAUACCAGAGCACAGUACCGACAAUGAGUUCGUUGAUCAGCGGAGGGUCGAGUGCAAUAUAUACCUUAGAAAACCUAAUACUUAAAUUAACUAAAAUACCGUAACAAUAAAAUUACCUAAUAUGAUAAUAUUCUCCAAAAAUGUUUCUCUUACUAUCUAUUUGUAUUAUUUCUCUAAUAGAGAUGGACCCACAUAUGUUCGCAAGCCUUACCUCUAUUAGAUAGAUGAUACAAAUGAUGAUACAAAUAGAUGGUAAGUGUACCAUCAACAUUGUAUUCUUGAAACCCUAUCGGGACUUGAGCAACUUUAAUAUUAUGGCUAAUUACAUUUUGCACCUUCCAUGUUAAUGAGCCAAAUAUAUCUUGUACAACUGUUAAAUAGUUAGUUACACGUGUAUAAACUUAGUUGUAGUUGUUAGGGUCUCAAUUGUAAUUAAAAACACAUGUAUGUGUGUGUGUGUGUGUGUAUUGAACUUAUUACAUUGAGUGAAAGAAAGAUAUUUUGCAAGCUGAGCUUCUUUACAUGCUAAGUUACUUUACAGGUUUGAUGUGAUUUUCAAAAUUGACCAUGAGGUUUCAACUUUCUCAUAUUUUCAUGAUUUUUAAAAUUGUAUUAAAUUCAGCGAACUGUUAUUAGUACUUCAAAAAUCUCAUUAUACACUCAUCAUAAGUGUUGUUUUCUUUCUAAUUAUAGAAAAUUUGGAGUGCCAAAUGAGAUUUUUGAAGUGGUAAUAGCAAUUUCCUAAAUUUUAAAUUUAUACCUUUUCUCUCUUUGAUUGUCUAAUCCUUCAUAAAAUUAAUAUUUUUUUUUUUUUUGCUAACUUGGCAUGCAAAUGUAUCUUACAAGUUAGCCCAUACAAUAAAUUUGACCAAGUGCACAAAUUAAUACAAUUUCACUAUCUUAGAGUGUAAUAUGUGAGAGUUACAAUUUAUUGAUCUAUUUUGAAGAUGAGCCCAUACAUGGAGAGUGUAAAAUGUAGAUAUCCCUUAUUAUUAAGACAUAAAUGAUGUACCAGAAAUAGAAAUUUCUUCUCUUUUUCCUUUUUUAAAGCAUCCAAACCCCACCGCAAGUCACAAAGUCACAAUCCUAGCCGCUUACACAAGCCCAGAAAAAGAAAGGAUGGGAUUCCAUUUUUUCAUGACAGCUUUGGUGAGGACUACGACUCAUCAACUUUAUAAAAAGAGUCUUUACCAGGAAAAAAAAAGGACAAGGGAAAUAGAGGCUGACCUAAAAAAAAGGGAAAGAGAGGGCCUCAGCUUCUUUGCAUGCAUUUCACACAUGAAGUGAUAGAACUGACAUGCACGUUGCAGAAAAAUGUGUGGUGGCUAGUGAUUAGGGGCUCGUACGUGGUGACUCGAAUGGAGAAGGAGGCAGAUUCUUUGCUCUUCUAUUUUUCGUAUUUUUUCAUGCUCUCAUGUUUUAUGUGGUCACAAUUAAGCUACAUCUAUUACUCUUAUAAGGUUAUACAAUUAAAACACAAUAUGAAGGAGUGACUGACCUGAUUCUAACGAUGGUCAUGGAUAUCAAACACGAAAACAAACAGAGUACGGCAACACCAAGAUCUUCUAUAAACUUCUAGCCGAAUACAACUACUCUAUGGGAAGCAUUAUGUUGUGUUCUAGGGCUUAUAGGGACCGGUGUUUUAUAUAGGCUAAAAGCUAGGGUUUCCAUCUAUAAAGGAAACCUAAAUUUUACUUCUUAGCCUCCAAGUCAAGUAUCAUAAUCAUAUUCAAUUAAGGAUUCCAUCAAUCCUAUUUCCAAUAUAAGACACCUUAUAUAGGAUUGAUAUCUUUAAGAGAUCAAAUCACAAUCAACAUUAUUCUCCAAUAUUACAUUCCUAUUACAUGUAGUAGGCCACUUAAAUGUCGAUUUAUAUUGGAUAAAUCCAACAUUCUCCCACUUGGUCUACAAAAUGUAAUAUUCAUUUUUAUACUUGAGAUUGGAGACUAAUGUCACUUUAGUGGCCAUGUAACAGUGAUUACAUCUCGUCCUUAAUGCAAUUUCUGUCAAAUGCAUUUCUUAACAUGAAACUAACAAGGUUGUAGGGUUGACACAACCCAGAACCUUCAUAAUCACACAUGCUAAGAUCCUCAUUCACAUGAAACACAAAUUAUGAUCAAGAGAUGAAACUUUAAAUUAAAUUUUAAAUUAACCAAAAUGUCUUACUUUAUAUCAUCUCAGGUCCACCUUAUUGUAACUCACAAGUUACACUUUAUACUUCUUCGAAGCCUUAAAUCUGCCAAUGCAGAUAUCCUUCAUCUAAUGAAGCCACCAUAACCUGCAAGUGUGAAUACAUUUCCAAAACAAUCAUGCAUCACUUUCAUUAGAUCAGUAAUAAUACAAACAAUGUUUGUAGCCAAUGGACACAACUAAAAGUACCAAAUAGGCACAUGUCCAAGUAAAAUAUCCCAAAAACUUCAUAAAACAAAUUAAUUCAACACUUGUGAGCAAGAUGAAUUAAUAUGUUUUUGACACUGAUCUAUGCACCAUACCAGUUUCAUAGUGAUUUCCAACACCUGCGGGCAAGAUGGAAAUCCUCACAACUGAGGUAGUGCAUAAACCAUGUCAUGCCAUUUAAUAUGCAAUUUGAUAACAACUUGCUAUCUAAUAUAUAUUUCAUCAGAUAAUUGACUAGCACACGAAAAAUGUGAUUUAAUGAAUCUAACUGGAGAUUAAAAUGAAUACAUGGAUUCUAUACGUACCUUAUAGGUCAUCUGUAAAUGUAAGGCAUUACUAACACGAAACUCAAACUCCCACUGAUCUGCAACAUCAUCACUUAAUUUGCAAAUCAAUACUUUAAUCAUAUUUUUGAAAAUAUGCCUUUGGGAAUAGCCUUACUUAGUCAAUGAAUGCAUAUUACCUCAAUGAAAGGUACAAUUAAGCACGAAAGCAUUCAUCACUGUUACACAAAAACAUGCAUCCAACAACCAUCUUAUAUGUAUUAAUAAGUCCACAUUUAUCCUAAGUCCUUAUAAGCCUCAAAACGAAUGAUCAACCAAGAAAUCCAAAUGAUUUCAAGUAACAGAAAAAUGUACGCAUAUACUAAGUAGUCAUUCGUGCAACUUAAACAUAUUAUUAUUAUUCGAGUAACACAAAUUCAUGGAAGAUAGAAUAACGCUUUAAUAAAUUCAUGCAAAUCCGCUUAAUGCUCAAAAACUCCCACUAAGUUUUCAGAGUUUAUACUUGCAAAUAAGUUAAUGAGUGUGAAGCCCAAUUUUCGUUCACUAAUUCUCCCACUUGGGCAAACACUCAUUAAUAUAUUCUUUCAGAGAUGUACCUAAAGAAAAUUGCUCUAUAUUUUAGACAUAAUAAAAUAGACAUCUCAACCAACAUAAAGUUGGCAAACAGAAUUUCAGCAACGAGUUACACUUACUUUAGCAUUAAUCAUAAUUAAUUUAUAAGCUUGAUUGCUACCAAAUUUAUACUGAUCAAAAUAGACAUACUAAUAUUCAUAAAAUAAAAAUAUAGAGACGUUUUGGAUCAAAAUAAUAGUCUAAAGUCACGUCUCAAAAAGACCAACACAAUCUGCCAAGAACUGUCUAUAAGAGCAUGGAUUACUAGUGAAUUCACCAUAAUUAAAAUACAUGGCAGAAAAUUACAAAACUUUUCAGACACAUAGUAGACAUCUAUAUGUUGAACAUAUCCAAAAUUCAGAUCAUUUGGUGACCAUUAGACGUGUCAUUCACCCGAUUUAAACCAAGACACGCAAUCUGCCAGAAACAAUUAUGUGCAUCUAUCAUGAAUUUAUGCAUCCAUAACAAAUUCAAUUUCAUAUCAUUUCAAUUUCGAUGUCCAAAGGAAACUUUAGUAGUCAAAUUUCAUCUUCUAAACCGACAUCAUAAUUCAAAUUGAAAAGAUUUACAAGCAUAAGACUUAAACAAUGCGUACCUUAGCAAUCCUUGAUUAACCUUCAUGGGUCCAAUACUUUGCAUCAACAAGUCUCAUGAAGAGAAACAAAAUAUGUCAUGAUGCAACCGAUUUCCAUGCCUUCAACCCACAACCUUUUAUGGGGCUCAUUGUGGAAAUAUUUGUCACCAAUGGCAUGGAACUUUAUCCCAAUAAACUUCACGAAACUAAAUUAAUUUACACCUGUAGGCAAGAAAAUUAACUAGUUUCUAGUACUAGAUUUUAUGUCACAAAAGUACCUUCAUGAAAAACUUCAACACAUGUAGGCAAGAUGAAGAUUUUCACAACUUCGGUGAAAUAAAACUCAUACUAUGCCAUCUGAAUUAAACUAAAAGAAGUAAUCCACACUUGUAGGCAAGAAGAUUAUCCCUUUUGUUCUAAUUAAGAUGCAAAGAUGACCGAAGUAACUAAAAAACGUAGUCCCAUCGUCAACUAAACCGUUGCAUCUUGCUUAGUUGAAAAGGCAUUGGUCAACUCCGUCCUAAAAUAAUACAAGAAGUCACAUGGAUUAAUUAAUUGUAAGUGACAAAAAUAGGAUAACAUGAUUCGAGCUUCGAGUCUUGCCAACAAAUGACACUAAUUCCUUCAUGACUCCCUUUGAUAUUAAAUUAAUCCCAGAAACCUGACAGCAUACUUGAAGGAGAUUAAUCACAUAUAGAACAAGUUUUCACCACAAGAAUGUCAAUACUUAUCAUUACAGAGUCAAUUAGAAAUACUUUAUGUAAUGUGAGAGAACAAUACAUUCCUUUAAUUUAAAAGCUAAGUCACUCAAAUGUUUGCUUAAGUCAAAACAGGUUCCUUUUCUUUUGUACCUUUCUUUCCGUAGUACAAGGCUCCUAAAACAUUAGCAUCAAAAUCGUGCAUUAGCCUUGUAAAUACCAAAUUAAAUAAAAGGAACCAAAAUUAUUUUCUUCCAUAGAAAACAUUUCCAAUAUAUGCCCUACAUUAGCCUUGAAAAGUUUCUUUUCUUCUCCCCUUAUGGCAUAUAAAAAUUACUAAUCAAAGCACUGUUUAAAUUCUUUAGGCAUAGGAAAAACCACAAACAAUAAUACAUGUUUGAAAAUUCAUGCUUGUCAAUUAAGCCACAUACUUUGAAUGGAUUACAUACCUCAUGUCUUCAUAUGUUCACCACUUCUUUGUAAACAUAUAUAUAAUCACAUGACCAACCAAAAUUCUCAUAUAAGCAUAAAAAUACAAAUGAGAACUGUCACAUAACUACUACAAACCUUAUUCAUUUGUAUAAUACCCUUGUUCUUGUCACUGGAUGCUUUCUGUCAUUCUCAGUCAAUCCACAAAUUAUACAUCAAUUUUCAUAGUUAACUAGUCAUGUAUAAUUUAAAUGACUAUUGAGAUAAGAAAGCAAAUUGUAGACAAACCUGAUUGAUUAGUCAUGCAUAUUUCUUGUGCUAUUAAUGGCAUAAAAGUUCAUUCUCAUCUUGUGAAAAUUAGUGGAAACAAAACUACAAUUCACUAUAGUCCAAAACCCAUGACAAUAUUGAAAAUAUGUAAUCUCAUGCUCGAACCAAUUUAGCCAUACAAGCAACACUAUACACGCCAUUUGCUUAACAAAUGUUGCCAAAAUCUGUAUGACUUACUUUCAUGUAUAGGAAUUUUAUCAAAUUCAUUAACAUACAUGUAUAUAGUUGACACGUAUAAAACUUAGCGUAUGCUUCCCUGCAACACUAUUGUAAUAUAUGUUAUUACAAUCAUAGGCAUAACAUAUCCCAAUAGUAUUGAUAAAUUAUAGGAUAUGACUAAUUAUGUCUCCUACAAUCAGAAAGACGUCACGACAUGGUUGGAUUUUGCAGGAACAAUAUAACACUUCAUGAAUCCAACAUAACCAUUCCUUAUAUAAUUUAUCAUGAAGACCAAAAGGAAAGAUCAUACCAGAAUUUCAUAUACCGAUGUAAUACGAACCUCUUCAUUGGGCUUGUUCCACUGAGGAAUCUUAAGAAAUUCUCCAAUGCAAGGUUAGAACAAAUGUAAAUACAUAUACAUGCUAUGCGAACUGUAGAUACAUAAUUGGCUUUAGAAAAUUAUAUAUACUUGCUUGAUCCAACAAUUGCUGGCAUUUAUGCAAUUGUUUCUUGUCACAUUAACGUAUCACUCGUAGCAAUUCAUAUAGAAUACAAUUCAUGGAAAAUAAUAUUAGUUCUUAUUCAAUAAGCUUAUGCCCAUUUAGAUACGUAUUGCCAAAAUAUAUAAUAAUUGGAUCCAUAUUCAUGACAUACUUAACCGAUACAUGGUAAUCAAUGUAUGUACAUACUCUACAAUAAUUAGCACAUCACUCAUGCAAUUAUAUCUUUAUCUUAUUACCAAUUUAAGCUUUGAGGGAUCAACCCAAAUAUAUAUCAACCAAAAUACCAUAAACCAUUAUGGAAAUCAAAGUCAAUGAAACAAACCAUUUUGCUUUGGUAGAAGACUUUGCUCUGCUUGCUAAUCGGAGGGACCUCUUCAGUAAGGUCAGAACAAAUAUAGCAUGCUUACAAAAAUUGAGAUCAUCAGUGGCACAUGGUAAAUCAAUUCAACCAAAACACUAGCAUGAAGAUUGAAAAAGAACAAAACUGUUAUUCUUCUUAGUGCCAUGGUUUCCACUGUAAAAUACAUAAUAUAAUACCACGCCUUACAUAUAUGCUUCUUUACGUUCCUAUUUGAUUAUAGGAUUCCAAUUCCUAUAUGGUUUUUAAAUUUCAUGCUUCAAUACUAUAAGAAUAUUAUAUAAAUUCUAUGCUUCAAUUCCAUAAUUUAAUUCAUGCUUGAUCAAAAGCACCUCUAAGCGUAGUUCAAUUUCCAAUUGGCAAGCAAAACUAUGUGGUUAUAUAUAAUACACCGCAUACAAUAUUAUGGGUUCGUGCUAUAAUCAGGCAACUUGUCUUGCUGAUAAUAAUCAAGGUAUCAAUUAGCAUAGUUCUUAAUAAAUUUCCCUUGACUGCAACCAUAAUAUUAGUGAAAAAUAUUCUUGAUUAAAACUGAAUAAUUAUGUAACCUGAUCAUAAUUAACAAUUGAACUUAUUCAAAUCGCAUGGUGAUGUUGCCGAGUAUAUGCAAUGAGAAUUUGGAUUAAACACGCAGUUCAAGAGAAUAUUAUAUAAUCCAACAUUAAACCUAAUAGGUUUUAAUUAUAUAAUCAGUGGCUCUGAUACCAACUGUUAGUCUUAUAAGGUUAUACAAUUAAAACACAAUAUGAAAGAGUGAUUGACCUGAUUCUAACGGUGGUCAUGGAUAUCAAACACGAAAGCAAACAGAGCACGGCAACACCAAGAUCUUCUAUAAACUUCUAGCCGAAUACAACUACUCUAUGAGAAGCAUUAUGUUGUGUUCUAGGGCUUAUGGGGACCGGUGUUUUAUAUAGGCUAAAAGCUAGGGUUUCCAUCCAUAAAGGAAACCUAAACUUUACUUCUUAGCCUCCAAGUCAAGUAUCAUAAUCAUAUUCAAUUAAGGAUUCUAUCAAUCCUAUUUCCAAUAUAAGACACCUUAUAUAGGAUUAAUAUCUUUAAGAGAUCAAAUCACAAUCAACAUUAUUCUCAAAUAUUACAUUCCUAUUACAUGUAGUAGACCACUUAAAGGUCGAUUUAUAUUGGAUAAAUCCAACAACAUCAAUAUUUUAUAUUAUUUUUUUAUAGAGAUAAUAUGACAAAAAGAAAUAGUAAUAUAAAAAGUUGACAUGGCUUAACCGUGAUCACACAAACAGGAUGGCACGAAAAAUGAGAGAACAGAGAAUCUGCCUCCAAUGGAGAAAAGGGUUCAGUUUGCUAGAACAGGGAAGACUUUGGUUGUGGAUUGAUUAUCCAAUCUAAGGGCAUCUAGUCUUUUUAUGAGUGAACACAAGAAAAAAAUAAAAUUACAAAAAUGAACUCCUAUGAAGCUCCAGGGAGAUUAAUCCUACCGAUUGGGGUCGGCCCUUCCCUACUACAAAUCCUGCUUGCUUCUUUUCAUUUUUGCCUAAAACCUUGACUUCACCAUAAGCGUCUGUACCGUAUUUACAAAGUCCUGAACAGCAUUAAAACUAGGAAGUUUUAACGAAACACUUCCGAUACUAUUCACUUUUAACGAAAAACCACAUUUUUACCUUUUCCUGAUACUAUUUACUACACAUUUAUUUGUCAUUUUUCAUUAAAACUAAAAAAAAUUUGGACUGUUUGUUAGUUUUUCUUUAAAACUAACGGUAUGCCGCAAAAAGCUCACCUGCCAUGCCGAAACAACGCCAAUACAAGCAGUCGUAAGCAAUUGUAUUCCGACAUAUACCUAAAAAGUAAAAACCCUGUAAUAUAAGGACAUAGAAUCUACAAUUGACCAUCUACGCCUGCUGUUUCUACCCAGACGACAUCCAUUUUUUUGGCCUUACCCAAUGCAAUUCAAGUAUAGAGUCUCUGGCAUUGAUGCCUAUUUUGUAAAAGCAUGGCAAAUCCUUGCAUCUGCAUCAUAUCCCAUUGUAGAAAAAGUUGCACGCCUCUCUGCGUUUGGGGACAAUUUGGUUGUUUUUCAAUCUCACAUGUGAGACUAACAAGGGCCAUAAACAUAGCACAACAGUGAUGGUAUAUCCACCAUGCAUGGACGAAUAUCACUUCCACUUAUUCUCAGUAUGUAUUCUCGCAGUGCCAAACCAGUGUAGAGGAAUAACAUUGUAAGCCUGAAGUGGAAACGUUGGCAAACAUCCAUCCCAAAUCGAAGAUCUUAGUAUACGUAGUGUUGCUGGGAAAAGAAGGAAUAGCAGCGCAGUUCAUCUCUGUAAGCGUUGUAUUCCUCUUUAACCUUGAGUUGGAUAUCUUUGAUAGAGGAACGCACGUUUAUGGGACCGAGAAAGAACCUCACAAAACUCCCUCCCUGAGAUUUCCCAGGAAGAAACGAAGCAGCAACUCAAGAUAGAGUAAUGAUAGGGUGACUGAAUUUCUAGAUUAAAUUUUAGAAACUAAAGGACAUGGAAAUUGAUGAUUGGUUUAUUACUUAGGCGUUGAUUAAUGUGCUCAAUCUUAUUGGUAACACAUCAUUUAGUUUGCAAAUGUAAUCUAAAAAUUUAAUCUCUCUAACAUUACCUAUUAUUAGAUAUGAGAUUUUUUUUUCCUUCUUUAUUGUUAAUCUAAUAGGGACCAUACUCAACUAGCAAGCAGUGCGAAACACGCAUGCAUGCAUGCAAGGGACCAGAAACGUUCAAGUAUUUCAAUGCAUGUUAUAUAUAAUUAGAUAAAGUCUUUCAACAAUAUUUUGGAACGUAGCCAUUGAUUCUCUUCUGGCCGCCCAAAUAUUUGCUAGAAUAUGUUAAAACACUCAACACCCUGUUAUCUUAACUCGCAAAGAAUGGUAUGUGGCCGUGAUGAAUGCUUUCUUAAUCAAAUCACCUUACGAAAAAUUAAUAGUUUUAACCUUUCCAGUUCAGUUUAGAAGUUUUAGAAUUGAUUGAAAGAAAAAAAAAUUUAGAAUUGAAUUACGCGUAAUAUUUUCCAAAUUUUAAACUGCAACUUGAAUAUUGAAUGCUUCUUGGAGGAAACAUUUUAAGUAUUUUUUCAAGAUUUACUUGCAUUUUCACUAAGGAUUGGUUUGAAAAAAAACUUUCAUCAAAAUCAUUUUCAGUCAUUUUAGAAACACUUUCAGAUAAUUCACGUGUUCUUACUGAUAAGUAGAUGUGUAAAUUCUAAUUAUUCUUUCCUAUAUGGACUUGUAUUGGGAAAGAAGGAUUUCCUCUCCCUCUUAUUACUAUAAAUAAAUAAAGUCACUACAUAUGAGGGAAUAAGACAUAAUCCCCACGAUUCUACAAAUACAUCUCUCUCUACAAUCUCUCCUUGAUGUCGUCCCUCUUUCCUUAGUCAAAUAAAAUAGGCUACAACAUAUUUUUAUUUCUGAAAACUCUAUAGGCUUAUUAAUUCCGCAGUUUUGCACUGGCGUUUAAAGCCCAAAAACAUUAACUAGCAAAGCCCAAAUAAAAUACCCUGGCCCAACGGAACCGGACUAUAUUGGAAGUGAAUUUGUUUGGUUUCUCUAACCAUUUCUGCUGAGAAUCGAACCAAACCCAUGAGGGACUCCGACUCGGUUUGCGACUCUGGCCCAACGGAACCGGACUAUAUUGGAAGUGAAUUUGUUAGGUUUCUCUAACCGUUUCUGCUGAGAAUCAGAAUCGAACCAAACCCAUGAGGGACUCCGACUCGGUAUGCGACUUUUGGGUGAACUGAGUCGAACCGCAUCGUACCCACCCCGUAACGCGUAAGCAACACACAUCGACUUGGCUUCCAAACUAAAUCUUCCAUUGUUUACUGGUAAAAUAGAUUGAUCCCAAGGUAAUCAUUAAACAUUAACCUAAACCGUAUCCAUUCAGGCAAAAUAGAUUGAUACAUCUUUUAAGCUGCCAUCCAAACUUUGCAAUGCAACAGAAACAGCGGACAUUUUCGUGCGAACCAACGCUUCAAUCGCCAUGUUGAAACUGCAUUUUGAACAAGCACCCAAAACAAAUUGAACCAAAAUUCUAGGAUACUCGAGGUGCUCUAAUCGUUAAAUCUUUAAUUCCAAUGAAGGGGAAAUCAAAGGGGUUUUUUGUACCCUCAAUCUGUGGAUUCUGUACAAAUAAAUGAACAAAAACUGCAUGCAGCAUAAUCCCUCCCAAGAUACACUAAGAACAGUUCAAACGAAGUUCAAUAUUCAUAGCAAGUGAAGAGCAAAACAGAGAUGGAAUGGCGUUCGUGAUCAUCGCAAUGCAGUUUUGACAAAACACGAACACAAUUGGAGAAUCAUACACCUAGAGUUUGAUAGUAUUCGAUGACUAAAAACCCUCUAUUCGAAGGUUGAUUUCUUCUUCGAAAGAACGAGCUCUGAAUCUCUGAAAGAGAAGUAACCCCAAGGAUUAUAUGAUUGGGCAUUUCAUCAAACAAGCUUCGCAAUUGAAAACCCCACAAGAUAUGUAUAAGCACCAAGAAUUAUAUGAACCACAAUCGUAUUUCAUUUCCUACCAAGAUAAAGAUCGAGUUCCAAAUCAACGUAAAUUCGAAAAAAAAAAUUGAAAGUAAAAUACACAUUUACUAAUUAAAACCCUAACCCUAGACCCAUACGACUUGAUUUCAAGUACCAGACAUUGAAACCCACAAACCCUAACCCUUCAAGAGCUGGUGAACUUAGUCACGGCCUUGGUCCCUUCCGAAACAGCGUGCUUGGCGAGCUCACCAGGGAGCACGAGCCUCACGGCGGUCUGGAUUUCCCGGGAAGUGAUCGUCGGUUUCUUGUUGUACCUCGCGAGCCUGGACGACUCCUGGGCGAGCUUCUCGAAGAUGUCGUUGAUGAAGCUGUUCAUGAUUCCCAUGGCCUUGCUGGAGAUCCCGAUGUCAGGGUGGACCUGCUUCAGCACCUUGAAGAUGUAGAUCUUGUAGGUCUCCACGCUCUUCUUCGAUCUCUUCUUCUUCUUGUCUCCGGCGGCCGCUCCGGCCUCCUUCGGGAGCUUCUUUCCGGCCUUGGGCUUUUUCUCGGCGGGGGCUUUCUCCGCCACGGCGGACUUCUUCUCCUCUGCUGGCUUCUUCUCGGCGGGCCUUCUCGGCUUUGGGCGCCAUUGUUAGAGUUGGGUGAGAGAAAAGUUGGGGGAUUUGGGGAUUUUUCGAUUUGGAUUGAAAGACUCGGAGAGUAGGAUGUUUCGUGAUGGACUUAAAGAUGAGGAGAAUGUGUUUUUAUAUAAUGGGGAGCGGUUGGAUUCCAUUGGCUAAAUUGGUUUGACGAGGAUCGCUGUCUGGGAUGUGGUUUUGGCCGUGGAUUGGGUUUGGGAAAGUUCAAACAUUGACGGUUGCGAUGUGUUAAGCUGGUUCAAGCGGAUUGGUGCCCUGAUCGGUUAGUUUAAGUGGAAUUGGACGGUGGAUAGUUUUUGUAUGAAACUGAGAACGGACGGUUGAGAUGAGGGACUGAUCGAUGACAUCAUCUGGGUGUAGUUCUUUUUACGAAGGAUAUGCAAAUUAGAAAUAUCAGAUAGUAAAACUUGGGUGAACUUGAUACAAUAUUUUACAACAAAAGAUAAUAAAAGAAUUGAUUCUUACCAAUUGUGAACAUGGUUUAUAUCCCCAAGUAGAUUGGAAACCUUAAAACCAUUGUAGAAGAGAAAUGCGUACAAAAUUUUCUUAAAGUUGAACUUUUUUAUGAAUUAUGCCCUUCAUGUUUUUUGUACAAUAUUUUAUAAUAUUGGCGAUACGAAAAUUGAUUUUAUAGUAUGAGAUGACAGAGAUUCCAUGAAAAUGCCCACUUUAAAAGAAUAUUCUUAACAUUUCUCGAUUCUGAAAGAUUGUAUUAAGAUUAAAGCACUUCCACCGUGCUUAAUUGCCCUAUGGAUAGGCUCCAAAUCCAUCGCAAUCCACCCCCUCUCCCCCCCCCCCAAAACUCCUUUAGCCCACCUUCGGCAACUAAGCAAAGAGGAGCCAACCAAGAGGUCAGGCAAAAAUCCAAGGCCCAAGGGCCUGGAUAGAUGUGACGUCAGACAUGUUCUAAAAAAAUUUGCGUCAAGCGUGUGGGCAACACACGCAAGUGGGCGCAUCUCCGACAUAUUUUCAAACGGAGGGCCCCACAUGUCAACCCCACUCAAUUACCAUUGAAUCUGGACCAUUUGAUUUCUAAAUUGUCCACGUUUUUUGGCUUAAAAAAUUAGAAAUGUAACGGUGGGCCACGUGUCACAAUCUGGACUAUUAGAUUUCAAUUUUUUGGUAAUCCAACGGUCUAGAUUAAUUAAGUUAAUAAAAAUUUGAAAAAUAAUUAAAAAUCUGAAAAAAUAUCAAUAAUUUUUAUAAUUUAUAAUUUUUUUUUUAUAAAUACCUUGCCAUUUUCUCCCACUUUACACCAUAUUUCAAUAUUUCAACGAUUCUAGACAAGUAAGGACACAUCGCAAAACGGAAUUGAUUAAAAAUCUUAUCGAAAUCUAUCUAUAAAAAAUGUACUUUCGGAUAAUAACACGUAGCUUAACGAGAUCGGUUAAAACUCCUAUCAGAAAUUAAAAAUAAAAUUAUUUUUUAUUAUUUUAUAAAAUAAAAAAUACUAAUAUUUUAAUACAAAUUGUUUAAGCUAUUCAGUAUUGUGGUGGAGAUGCAAUAAAUAAUUAUUGUUCAUUAAAGUUGUUACUAUUCACUAAGAGAUUGAAUUGCCUAUGGCCAAGGAGGCCCUUUACAAUUGCUUUUAGGAAGCUUCCAAAGAAUAUUUAACCUUAAAAGAUGCUUUCUGUACUGUACUGAGUGAGUGUAUAUGGUUGCUCAAAUCUGAAUGAGAUUCCAGCAGAGUUGGGGAAGAUGGAAUCUCUAAUAGGGCUUAAUUUUGCUGAAAUUCCAAUAUCUCAAAUACUCAUGAACACCGCUGGGAUGGUCGAAUCAUUCAUGAGGAGAAAUCCAGAAAAUAUUUGGGUCUUUCGGAUGAUGCUUUUCCGAAAGAUUUUGCUAGGCCAAUAAGAUCGACAAGCAUCCCGUCCAGGUCUCUCUCUCUCUCUCACACACUUACAUUUCUUCCUGGGAACGUGCUGCCUUGUCAGUUCAGCCAUAAAAGUAAAGGCCCUUCAUAUCUUGUACUGUGCCAUCACUUCAGGUCUCCGGAUUGGAGGCUUGAACGUACUCUCUCUGUAUAUACAAACAUUGCUCAUUACGAAUGUACUACUAACAACGAUAGUAAAGAUGUUGGGGUUUGCAGCCCAUUGAAUCCAAUAAUGGCUGGCGUUGUUAAUAAGUGAACAAAUCUGAAGUGGAUCUAUGAACCAUCAUGCCUCUGCUUUCCAGAUAGGGGAGAAGCAUGGUAUGCUUCAGCCACUGGAGUUUGGGGAAUCAAUUGAGAGAUGGCAACGAAGUGAAAGUUCCCGAUUUCUGAGAUCCUGGUUCCGGGUAAAGGAGGGGCAUUCAGCUAAUUGUGCACGAGGAAGAAAAUAAUAUGUGCAGUACCCAACGAGAAACAACUGAUCCUUGUUUUUCCGAUCAUUUUUGGACAUUUGGCGUGAUAGGAGUUGAUGCCAAGAACAUACUUCGUCUCCCAUGGACAAAAGGAGAAAGAAAACGUUCAGGGAUUGCAUCAUUCGGUUUUGUUCAAUGACAUAUUGGGGAACUCUACUCAAGAGAAAGAAAGAGAUGUUGGAAACUAAUGUGUUUGUAGUACGUAUUAAUUUCCAUGCAACUGUCAAUGCAGGAAGUUCAUUGUAUAACAAGUAUCCCAGAUUACAUUUAUUCAACUAUGUGCGGGACUUGGAGUAGUCAUGUUUUGGUUGAAAAUGCAAUCAGCUAUUUCAGAUUUUGUCUCUGCAGCAGCAAUGGCAGGUACGAACAUCAAUUUCAAUCUGCUAGUUUGGUUGGUUCGUGUUUUACGAUCCAAAUCUAUAGAAAACUUGCAAAGCCAAUGACAUAUUGGUGGCAAGGAUGAGGAUUACUAGUGUCUUAUUUCAGAUCAUUGCCUCUGAGUACGCGUCUUGCAAAAUUUAGGGCACCAGCGAAACUGAAACCGAGUUUGAGCCAACCGAUCGAAUCAAUGUGUAGACUGAAAUUUUAACUCCCCGUCCAAAACUAACUGAUUUGAUUAUAAGUUCAUUCCAUACCGACCGAACCAGACCGGAAUAGGGUUAUUAUAUACAUUCUAAUAUGAAAGGGGGUCAUUCGAAUUCGAGCGUAUCUAAAUAGGUGAAAUUACAAAAUUAAACACUGAGUUGCCGCCCAAAUUAAUUGGUGGCGCCAUUGAAAUAGCGUCUAAAAUCCCUAUUUUCCUUUGAUAUUCUACACAUCUGCAUAAUUCUCAUUUCUUUAUUUAGGCAAUGAAAACUUGAGCACAAGAAACAAUAAUCGAUAGACUGCUAAUGAUAUUGAAAUCGGAUUCAUGACAACAAAAGAUUUUGCCGAAAACCAGGUAAAUUUUUCAAACGCCAUAAGGACAAAAUCAAAUCGGGCUAAAGGGGUCUAACCACAUCAAUGUAAAACUCAAGCAAAUGCAAAUAUUCAACAAAUUUAUGUUACUCAAAUCCUGAUUUUCAAUUUAAAACAUUAAAGUAAGGAAGUGGGCUGUUCAUUUCGAAUUCAAGAGAUUACAGAAUCCAAAUUCAUCAAUCCAUGCCACCACAAAUUUCAGAUCAUUGUAUUUCAUCCAAUAGAUAAGAUAUUACAUAUCUACUAACCAGAAACCCUACACACUAACACAUAAAGAUCCACUCUUCCAAGCCCUAAAAGACGCAGACGACGAACAGAACAGAACCCACCACACUU
rnacentral:lncRNA from 1 species